UGCAAGUCGAACGGCAGCACGGACUUCGGUCUGGUGGCGAGUGGCGAACGGGUGAGUAACAUAUCGGAACGUAUCCAAUAAUGGGGGAUAACUAAUCGAAAGGUUGGCGAAUACCGCAUACGCCCUACGGGGGAAAGCAGGGGAUCUUCGGACCUUGCGUUAAUGGAGCGGCCGAUAUCUGAUUAGCUAGUUGGUGGGGUAAAGGCCUACCAAGGCGACGAUCAGUAGCUGGUCUGAGAGGAUGACCAGCCACACUGGAACUGAGACACGGUCCAGACUCCUACGGGAGGCAGCAGUGGGGAAUUUUGGACAAUGGGCGCAAGCCUGAUCCAGCCAUUCCGCGUGAGUGAAGAAGGCCUUCGGGUUGUAAAGCUCUUUCGCAAGGGAAGAAAACUUACCUUCUAAUAAAGGGUGAGGUUGACGGUACCUUGAUAAGAAGCACCGGCUAACUACGUGCCAGCAGCCGCGGUAAUACGUAGGGUGCGAGCGUUAAUCGGAAUUACUGGGCGUAAAGCGUGCGCAGGCGGUUUUGUAAGUCAGAUGUGAAAUCCCCGGGCUCAACCUGGGAACUGCGUUUGAAACUACAAGACUAGAAUAUGUCAGAGGGGGGUAGAAUUCCACGUGUAGCAGUGAAAUGCGUAGAGAUGUGGAGGAAUACCAAUGGCGAAGGCAGCCCCCUGGGAUAAUAUUGACGCUCAUGCACGAAAGCGUGGGGAGCAAACAGGAUUAGAUACCCUGGUAGUCCACGCCCUACACGAUGUCUACUAGUUGUUGGUGGAGUAAAAUUCCAUGAGUAACGC
rnacentral:rRNA from 1 species